CAGUCGCGCGGGAAUACGGAGGGAGCUAGCGUUGUUCGGAAUUACUGGGCGUAGAGCGCGCGUAGGCGGUUACUCAAGUCAGAGGUGAAAGCCCGGGGCUCAACCCCGGAACUGCCUUUGAAACUAGGUGACUAGAAUCUUGGAGAGGUCAGUGGAAUUCCGAGUGUAGAGGUGAAAUUCGUAGAUAUUCGGAAGAACACCAGUGGCGAAGGCGACUGACUGGACAAGUAUUGACGCUGAGGUGCGAAAGCGUGGGGAGCAAACAGGAUUAGAUACCCGGGUAGUCCCUGUCUCUUAUACA
rnacentral:rRNA from 1 species